AUGACGGAAACAAGGCCAGUUCCUCGGAGAGAGAGUCCAUGGGGAAUAACAGGAGAGAAUCAUCCUGAACCUAAAGCUCAUCGAUGCAAUGAUCGCGUUGAAGAUGUUAUCCAGGCUUGCUUUGAGGGAAACCCAUUCAAGACUGUUCCAGGACCUUUCAAGCUCUUCUGGCAGUGCAUGCGAUCUAAACCUGGCGAGGAACCAACUGAGCCAUUUACCUAUUUGGAUUUGGAUCCUCCAAAGAGAGAGCCCGUAAAGCUUGAGUAG